GCAGUAAUAUUUUCUAAAUAACGUUGACGUCUCAAAAAUGAUGCAGCUAAAAAAUUAUUAAAUUCAAUUUUAAAGACUGUUGAACAGUGAGUUCGAAAAUUAUUCGGAUGAAAUAUGAAACCGAGCGCGAUUGUUGAACUCUGGAAAGCGGAAGUGUCUUGAGUCAGCAGAACGCGGGCAGCGAACCAGCGAAACGUUGAGGUGGGGAUUGGCAGAGGUGUGACGUGGGCUUCCUCCAACUUUUGGGUGUUGGCGAAUACGUCACCAGGUUCAUCGCUCUUCAGGCUACACGACUCCAUAGAGACUGUCGCUGUCAUUCUACCAGCUGUUCGGCGGAUGACAACUGUAAUAACAUGGAUCUACUACUGGGGCAACGUUUGCGGCAUUCUACAAUGGAGAUGAAGACAUCAAUUAAAUUUGGAGUGCCUUUUGCGAACGGACAGAGAGGCCAGAGCAACAGAGCCACAGGCACACCACCAUCCGAGUUGAAGGAGGCGGUCACCUCGAGAAGAUAAUGCAGGAGACAACAUUCGGCAACGACACUGCCUAAGAGUCAACUCAACAGUUUCAAAAUCGCUGGGUGUUCAAAAGUGACCAAUGUGUGGUGGGGACUAUAAUGAUUAGAAAUUUAAAACUUUAUGUGGGAGAACUUUAUGGUAGCCUAAUGUGUUAAGAUGGACUCUGCUUUGCUCUGUGCCAAUAAUUUAUUGUUUGUAAAAUUAGACUAGAUUCAUCAUUCAAAUGUAUAAGUAUGAUACUCUCUCUCCUUGAAUUUUAUUAUAUAAAUUUUUAAAAUGUAAUGAAUAUGAAAAUGUAUUAACUAUAUUUAACGAUAUUGUCAAGAUUUAAAUUUUAUUUGAUUUCAACUUAGUUUAAAGAUGUGCCAGUAAUUGUAUAUGCCACAUCUUUUUCAUGCGGAGGGGUGAUGUAACAAUUCAAACACCCCGCUCUCAUAGGAUAUUAAUUAUUAGAAUAGCGGAGUCAUCACUCAGGCCACCAAAUUGGACUUUUGAACUGGUGAGCUGAGAGAGUGAUGACCGCGUAGAGGCGAAACUAGAGGGAGAACGUUCAGAGACGCGCUAGAGGAAGGUUGUGUUUGAGAUAGUGAGAUGUAGUUUUUAGUAAUGUGAUUGAGGAGUGAUUAUGUUUAGAGAGAGAGAGUAUAGAUGUUUGUUAUGGGAUUUUUUCAAUAGAGUGAGAUUGUUUUGGGUGAA
rnacentral:lncRNA from 1 species